UGCACAGUGAACGAACCGCCGUAGCGGUAGC
rnacentral:sRNA from 1 species